GCCUGAGAAGGCGCUGGGAGUGACUGGGGACAGCCAGAUGAAGGUCCAGUUCUGGUGUCGGGUCCCUGAGGAGGGAGCUCUGUGGACUGGCUCCGUAGCACAUGCUCCUGGGGCUUGCCUGGCACCGGUGCAGGGAUCAAGAAAGAAGUAAUGCAUGACUCUGAUUUGCGGCUGCAGGAUAAAUCCGAACUAUUUCAGGGAGAUGUCAUGGAGAGCUCAUCUCUCAGCAUCAAAGUUGCCUCUCCUGACUUUUGAAUUUUAAGUGUUCUGUGUGGAAGAAAAAUGGAGACAACAAAUUUCUAUGCAUGGAUUCAAAGAAUCCUCGUAAUAUACAGACUACAUUCUCCCCAGCUUUUUAUCUCUAUAUAUUCUUUUUGUUGAGUUUCAACCACAUAGGGUUGAAAUUCACCUUCCCACAUUACAUUUUUCAUCAAUAGUUGAAGACCUAUGUAUGUAAAUAUCAGGAACUAUCAGAACUCCCUGCAACAGGAAACCUGACCCCCAACUCCCCCGAAAUGCAUCAUGAUAAACAGUCACUUGCCAAAAUAACAAAUCAGCUUCCUGGAACAUGCUUGCUCAAAACCAGGAGAGGAGCUUAGAGACGUCAGCUUGACUUCUGCCUCGUACGCAGGAAGGGUGACCUUCAAAGAUCAAACAUCGUCCCAAAUCUCCCUUCAUCUUGUAGUACUCCUGCUUGUCGUAGCUCCUGUUACCAUCAGAGACAGAAUGUGCUAUAACCUUCUGGAA
rnacentral:lncRNA from 1 species